rnacentral:lncRNA from 1 species
GCAGUUGGUGGACCUGGUCGCGCUGUGCCGGGUGUGACACUACGGAGAGCAGAUUACAUUAUCAAAAGCACCAAGUUGAAACAUUUGCAAGGUGUGCAUCAUUUCACAAUUAUUGGCAAUGGUUCAAUGGUUUCAUCUGCUUUGAACGGUUUCUUCUCUAUCAUUAAGAGGUGAGGAAACUGAGCACUAAGACACUAAAUAACUUGCCCAGGGUCAUACGACAGACAUGAGAGGUUUAUAUCAGGCAGUCUCCACCCCUGUUCCGAAGUCAAGAGGCUGACUCGGGUUGCUACUUCUUGACAGACCGGACCCCAGAUCGCCGAAGACCAUUUGGACACACUUCUAUCAAAUCCUGGCGGUCUCCUUCUAACAGGUAUGCAGUUUUCUCUGUAGACCCUUAAUACACAGAUAAGACUUGAAGGAAUUUAUCUGCAUUCCCUGAUUGGUGUGGCAAUGGAAGUCCCGCCCUGCAUCCCGACACUGAGCACAGCUGCAGCUUUCGCUUGUUCAUUCAUUCAGUAGAUAUUAUUUUCAUGCCUAC